rnacentral:rRNA from 1 species
UACGUAGGGUGCAAGCGUUAAUCGGAAUUACUGGGCGUAAAGCGUGCGCAGGCGGUUUUGUAAGCCGGAUGUGAAAGCCCCGGGCUUAACCUGGGAAUGGCAUUUGGGACUGCAAGGCUUGAGUGCGGCAGAGGAGACUGGAAUUCCUGGUGUAGCAGUGAAAUGCGUAGAUAUCAGGAGGAACACCGGUGGCGAAGGCGGGUCUCUGGGCAACAACUGACGCUGGAGGAGCGAAAGCUAGGGGAGCGA